rnacentral:rRNA from 1 species
GGAAUAUUGGACAAUGGGGGAAACCCUGAUCCAGCAACUCCGCGUGAGGGAUGAAGGCCCUCGGGUCGUAAACCUCUGUCAGAAGGGAAGAAAACCACGGGGCGAAUAGUCCUGUGGCUUGACGGUACCUCCAAAGCAAGCACCGGCUAACUCCGUGCCAGCAGCCGCGGUAAUACGGCGGGUGCAAGCGUUGUUCGGAAUUAUUGGGCGUAAAGCGGGUGUAGGCGGCUUUGCAAGUCAAGUGUGAAAUCCCAGGGCCCAACCCUGGAACUGCACUCGAUACUGCAUCGCUAGAGCCCCGGAGAGGAUGGCGGAAUUCCAGGUGUAGAGGUGAAAUUCGUAGAUAUCUGGAGGAACACCAGUGGCGAAGGCGGCCAUCUGGACGGUGACUGACGCUCAGACCCGAAAGCGUGGGGAGCAAAC